AAGAUAAAUAUAGCCCUAGUCUCUUCAUCGUGCAUUAAGUGGUAAUAAGGACUGCAAACUCAAAAAGGGGCCGAAACAGUAUGCGAACAGCACAGGAUCACUUUUUUUAAAGACAGUCUUGGCUGCAUAAACAAAGAAUUUUCACUAUGGCCUGUCACAUUUGUGAAGGGAAGGGCACAGCUACAGUUCUGGAAGGAAAGUAGUAGAUGGUGGAACAUCCAGAGAAUUCUAACCCAGGGCUUUGGGCUCGGCAGUGGCAAAGAAGUAAUAGUUAGCUAAUCACUUUGAAGCUGACGAAUUGAGUGCUGCACUAGAGGGUCACCUUAGACACAGACAAACUGACAAGCAAAGCCUGGAUUACGGAGGAGAGGCCCCGGGCAACGGUGAGCACAUACAUGUAGACUUGUAAGCUUGCG